GGGAAACAUGAGAGCCAGACCAAAGCUCAGAGAAAAAAACGCAAACCUGAAACUGGAUCCAGCUGUGAGUCUGCCAAAAGUGAGAUGUCAACAAAUGACGAUGUUAAAAGACAGUGCACCUCUGAAUCUAAGAUCACUCAGAGUCCAGGAUUUCCUGAACCUAAACCCAGCUGUGUGUCCUUGAAGAGCAACCAGUCAAAGGGCAUUGGAGAAACCUUUAAAGCGGAACUUUCUGAGAUA